UGCGCAGGCGGGCUUGUAAGUCAGUGGUGAAAUACUGCCGCUCAACGGUAGAACUGCCAUUGAUACUGCAAGUCUUGAAUAUGGUUGAGGUAGGCGGAAUGUGUCGUGUAGCGGUGAAAUGCAUAGAUAUGACACAGAACGCCAAUUGCGAAGGCAGCUUACUAAGCCGUUAUUGACGCUGAGGCACGAAAGCGUGGGGAGCGAACAGGAUUAGAUACCCUGGUAGUCC
rnacentral:rRNA from 1 species